AUGGUAAAUGCUCACUUCCUGCCGGAAGUGCGUCUGCAGAACCGCUUCCGCCCAGCGGGGUGGGAAGCGAGUAAAGCCACGUGUAGCGUCCGGUCAGAGGAGACCGGCUGUCGCCUCCUACUGGCCGCGGCACUCUCUGCCACCAGCUCGGGGUCCCUGAGACCCCAGGCCUUCCUCGCGGGGCCCCUGCCACCCACGCCUUCCCGCGGAGCGGAACCGCUGAGCCGCUGGGGCCUGGACGAUGCCCCGGAAGUGGGCCCGGGGCGGCGCAGGCGGCCGCGGUUUCUGAGGAAUGAAAGCAACAGUUAMAGCCUGGAGGGAGAUGGGGCAGGACGUCACUGUGAUCGCUUUGAUGGUCAGCGUCCCUGGAGCUUGGUGUGUUGGCUGGUGCUUCUGACAGCGGUCCUGCAGGUUCUGUGCUGGUGUGGGCUCUUGUGGGUUAGGGCCUCCAGGUUGGUUUGGUUCCAUUCUGACCCACGUGUGUGGUGAAGACCUGCUGGAGACAGCUCCACGUGCAUCGAAAUAAACCAAGUGCAACCCUAGGAU
rnacentral:lncRNA from 1 species